rnacentral:lncRNA from 1 species
UUCUAUUUGGCCUUGACAGGGCUUGGAACAGGCUGCCCCAAAAUAUGCCAAGACGGCAUAUUGAUUAUUUGGGAUUAAAGUUACUUGAGAAACAGCCAGCUCAAGAACACUCUGACCCUCAUUCACUCCCCUGAAAGCAAGAAACAAAGCUCCCAUGUACCCUUCCUAUGCCGUCCAGCUAAAAGAGCUCAAGACGGAUAAGGAGGAAAUUUCUUCCUCCUCAACAGUUUUGGUGAGCCAGCCAGAAGAAACAUUGGCCGGAAAACUGUUUUCUCUCUGGGACUGCUGGGGAUGAAGAGAUCCUGGGACAUCUGACAGAAGUUGGCAAAGUGCUUAUCAAAAACAGAUCCUUGCUGUCAGCAGUAGAACACUUCGGAUGACUCACUGGUCAGAUGCAAUAAGGGAUCACUGCCUGGGGUCUGGAGCUGUCCUUCAGUGUGAAGGUGAAUGGUUGACACUCACCUCUUCUGUAGGAAUGAGAGGUGAGGAAUGACUCGAUGGUCUUCAUUAGAUGCUCCAAAAGCCACUGGGAGAGGAGAAUCACCUACACUGAAUCUUGUGUAGGCUCAGUGGAGUCUUAGAAGAAAUCAUACAUUUUGUUCUAUUUCCUAAGCAAGAUUCUUUUAUGGAAUAUAAGAGCCUGUAUCUGGGAGAACUCAGCUAAGACAAUUAUGUUUAUAGUUAUUACCUUGGUUGGAAAUGUUCAAUAAAAAAAGCUUCAAACGUGUUAAUAUAUUAAGAAGAAAGAGUUAAAGCACAUUGGGGAAUAUUUUUUACAGUCAUUUUAUUAUAAAUUCACCUCAGAGCUCUGUUCUGGGUCUCUGGCCUGCUGCCUACUUCACAGUUUCAGUUCUACUUAAACUAAGAAGAGAAAACAAGAACUUAACACAACUAAGGGCUCUCCCCAGCUCUGCUCUUCACGUGAUGGAUUCUUUCCAGGAUAAAGGGCCACAGAUCUUCCCCUCGGACUCCAAAUGCAGGACUUAGCAAUGAGAAGAACUGCCUUUUAUCUACCGAGCAUUGAAAUGGCUACAACUAGAAAUCAAUUUCUUUGGGCCUUUGAGACUCCUCUCUGUGCGGAUCAUGGGGUCUUGAGUGAGAUUUGUCUUCGAGUGAAAUUUUUCCUACUUGGGAUCCUUAGGCAUCUGGGGGCAAAGUGAUGGGAAUACAACAGUUAUUUUUAAUAUUGUAAAAAUUCUAAUGGAAAUCAUACACUUAGCCACAAAAAUCAUUGUCCAGGAUGACCAAAGUGUCGCAUGUUCCUGCUUUCAGUUGGAAUUUUACUAUCUUGUAUGUGUCUAAAGUUCCGACUGCUGGAAGUUAGUGUUUAUCUUUAGUAAAAAAGGAGACCACUUAUUUGUUGUUUAAUAAGAACAGUUUUGUAAAUAAGCAUCUUAGGAACUUGGAGUUAGGGCUGGGGGAAGGGUGGAAGUGAGAAGGUCCUUGGUGGUGAGAAAGUUGAGAGGAGAGCAUCUCCCUCUGCCUCGCAAGCUCACAGCGUAGGGCAGAGAGAAAGCAGCCUGUUAGUGUGAGUGAAGCCACAUGUAAUAUAUCUGGGAAAGAUAAUUCAAACUCGAGUUAUUGUGUGAUAUGCUAUGAAAUGUCAGUGACGAUGAGCAAAAGGAAUCUUGGAUUCACUUAGAGCCUUUCAAGUCAAUCCUACAGAUGUAAGCUGACUGCCUGUUUCUAGUUUAGGUGCUGCUCCAGUUAGAAAGACCAGCAAAAUCCUAGACCCGUCAGGAGGAUACUGGGGAGAGGAGGGAAGCCCCCUGGCAUGCUUUGGUAUGAGCCCAGUGCAUCUGGUCUUGGAAGAGAUCCAUUGGGUUGUGUGCUGCAAGGAAGACCUCACCAACCUGGAAAACACCAGACCUACCUGGUGUUUGUAGACUUACUGUUUGUCAGGCACUGUAACCAGAUAGUUUGCAACUAAUUUAAAAAUAUGCUUUUUUCCCCUUUUUUUAUGAUUUCAGAAGAAAUCUACUUUGUCUGUGGGAAACUAAUAAAAACUACAAACUCCAACCAAAAAAAACUCAGAUAAAGAAGAAACUAAUGCUUCCAUCCCAUGAUAAGCAUAUUUUAAACUCUUUCUGCAUUUUUUCUGAUUUCAAACUUACAAUAAUACUGAAAUAAAGAAAACAGAAAGUAAAAGUCUCUGCUAAUCCUAUCUACUACAGAUAAUUAUGGUUAAUGGAUUAGUAUACAUUUUUUUUUCUCUAAAUGCAAUAUAACCAAUUUCAAAAAAAAUUGAAAAUAGAGGAUUAAAAAAAAUGUCACUCGGUCACUCAUGUUAUCUCAUUAUCUUAACCAGUAUUUUAUUUUGGUCAGUUUGACUCUUUUCUCCUAUCAUAUAUUCCUAUUUUUAUAUAUUUGUAAUCAUGGUGUACAUGCAAUUUUGUGCUCUAAUUUUUAUUUCACAUUUAAAAGCAUUUUUCCAGAUUACUACAUACUCUUCAUUCCAUGCCUGUGGAAUACUUCUCUCAGUAGAUAAAAAAUUUUCCUAUUGUAAGAUAUUUAUUGUUUCUAUUAUUUUGUUAAUGCUGCCCUAUGUAGUUUUAUGUUUAUGAUUUCUUUUAAUAUUUUAGAUUAUUUCCUUAAGUUAUAGUUCCUCUAAAAUAUGAAAUAUGGACUAUAUUUAUUGUUCACUGUUUCACCCCCAGUCCCAAGCUCAAUGUCUGGCGUAUGGUAUGUACUUCAUAAAUUUUUGUUAAAUGAAUGAUGAAUGA